rnacentral:rRNA from 3 species
AAUCCAUAGGUUAAUGAGGCGAACCGGGGGAACUGAAACAUCUAAGUACCCCGAGGAAAAGAAAUCAACCGAGAUUCCCCCAGUAGCGGCGAGCGAACGGGGAGGAGCCCAGAGCCUGAAUCAGCAUGUGUGUUAGUGGAAGCGUCUGGAAAGGCGCGCGAUACAGGGUGACAGCCCCGUACACAAAAGCGCAUGUGCUGUGAGCUCGAUGAGUAGGGCGGGACACGUGGUAUCCUGUCUGAAUAUGGGGGGACCAUCCUCCAAGGCUAAAUACUCCUGACUGACCGAUAGUGAACCAGUACCGUGAGGGAAAGGCGAAAAGAACCCCGGCGAGGGGAGUGAAAAAGAACCUGAAACCGUGUACGUACAAGCAGUGGGAGCACCCUUUGGGUGUGACUGCGUACCUUUUGUAUAAUGGGUCAGCGACUUAUAUUCUGUAGCAAGGUUAACCGAAUAGGGGAGCCGGAGGGAAACCGAGUCUUAACCGGGCGUUAAGUUGCAGGGUAUAGACCCGAAACCCGGUGAUCUAGCCAUGGGCAGGUUGAAGGUUGGGUAACACUAACUGGAGGACCGAACCGACUAAUGUUGAAAAAUUAGCGGAUGACCUGUGGCUGGGGGUGAAAGGCCAAUCAAACCGGGAGAUAGCUGGUUCUCCCCGAAAGCUAUUUAGGUAGCGCCUCGUGAAUUCAUCUCCGGGGGUAGAGCACUGUUUCGGCUAGGGGGCCAUCCCGGCUUACCAACCCGAUGCAAACUGCGAAUACCGGAGAAUGUUAUCACGGGAGACACACGGCGGGUGCUAACGUCCGUCGUGAAGAGGGAAACAACCCAGACCGCCAGCUAAGGUCCCAAAGUCAUGGUUAAGUGGGAAACGAUGUGGGAAGGCCCAGACAGCCAGGAUGUUGGCUUAGAAGCAGCCAUCAUUUAAAGAAAGCGUAAUAGCUCACUGGUCGAGUCGGCCUGCGCGGAAGAUGUAACGGGGCUAAACCAUGCACCGAAGCUGCGGCAGCGACACUGUGU